rnacentral:tRNA from 1 species
GCCUUGAUUUGCAGAACGUGAUGCAUGAUUUGUAAUCAGGGGGUCGCGGGUUCGAACCCUGCCGGGGGCACCA